AUGGGAGUGGGGGAGAGGGAGCAGGAAGGGGCCGGGAGGCUCCCUUAUCUGCAGGAAGCACCUGGGGAAGCAGAGGACUGGGUUUCCUGCGGCCCAGCCCCGGAGAGCGGAAGCGUGAGCUUCCCGGCCCUUGGUGUCUCCACCAUCUUCCUGCCCUUGUCUCUGCAGUCCACAAGCGCUCUGCCAGCUCCCUCCCUGCCUUCCCAGGCCUGCACCUGCCUCUCAGUCCACUGUGGCCGCUUCACAGUGGUGGACAGUGCUCAGCAGGGCGCACCAGCAGUGGACAGGAUGGGGGAGGCUGCCCCCUUCCCACACCCAGAACUUCAGACCAUCGCAGGGUCUCCUGCCUUGACCUGGGUGGGCCCAGAGCCCCCUGGCCAUGCAGUCCCUCCUGGCCCAAUGGGAGCCCUUCCAGCCUCCCCUGCCACCCCACUCUAGCCUUGAGACCUGGCUGACCAAGAGAAAAUCUGACAUCUUUGAGUCAGGAAUUUGACGCAGCUGCUCAGUGCCACUUGGGAUGCCCACAUCCCCUACCAGAGAACCUGGGUUCCAGCCCCGACUGCCCCGAUUCCAGCAGGCAGCAGGUGAUGGCUAAAGCACUUGGGUCCCUGCCACCCGUGUGGGAGACCUGGUUUGCAUUCAGUUGUGGGCGUGCGGGGAGUGAACUAGCAAAUGGCAGUUCUGUCUGUCUGGCUGCCUCUCUGCCUCUUAAAUAAAAUAAGUAAAAAGAUUUUAAGAGGAAAAUCUCACAUCUUUGCUAACUGGCACGCAGCAGAUGGGUGGUCCCUGCUGGCUGGCUGGGUUCUGUGCACCUGUGACCUGCUGACCCCUCAGCCCCACCAGCACUGCCUGGCAAGCAGCAGAAGUAGCAAUACCUACAAGCGCUCGCAAACAUGGCGUGCUCCCUGCACGGCCCCUGCCGGGGGAACUCACCCACCCCACCCCACCCCCGCAAAGCCACCUCAGCGGCCCGUCCACGCUCCUGGGUGGCCCCUCUGCUUCCUCCUGCUUGCAUCAGGGCCAAAAUUCUAGAAAAUCUCUCAUCAUCUCCACUUCUUCCCACCUCCUAUCACACGUUCAGACAAACAGGCCACAUGGGCCUGGGGGAGCUCUUGGGCAGACCCCCCGAAGAGUGCCUGGCGGAGGCGUGGGAGCUCGGCCACCCGACAGCUCAGAGCCCACUGAGCCCGAGGCGUCCCCGCAGCGUCAGCAUGCGGCCUUGGUGCCACAGGCCCCUCCUGGCUCCUGCAGCCCAGCCCUGCCUGCUGGCCCACCAGCUGGCCCCCGUCUGGGCCAGGUCCUUGGCCUCAUUUCAGCUGUUCCUGCCAUGCCACUGCCAUCACUGUGUCCAGCCACUUCCUGCAGCCUCUACAUCUCCACUGCUACUGUAGACCCACCUGCUUCUCUCUUUAAUUGUGUCAGUCUUCUCUUGUUUGGUAUGCUUGUUAAUAUGCAUGUAUGUAAAUAUGCACGUAUGUGUUAAUAGCUGUUAAUCUUCUAGAACCCCAACUGCAUACUCCCUUCACGCUCCUCACCCCACAGCCCCUGCAAAUGUCCCCCACAGGCCACCACUGUCGGGGACCACGCAGCAUGUGACCUCUUAGUUGAGAGACAGGGCUGGACAGGCCAGACCUGAUAGUACUGAUAACGCAAUCUUGUGUGACCUUGUGCCUUAAGGCCUUGUAACCUUUCCCCUACUUGCAUUAGCAUUGCAGCUACAAGAUAAGCCCCUCCUCCUUCCCCCUCCCGAUACCCUGCCUCCAUGAUAUAUAAGUGUGUGGUUGAAAAAUAAAGUCGCAGCUUGAUCGGCACCUGUCUUGCUGCCAUCCUUGUGUCUCCUGUCCCUUUCAUUUCUCCUUCUAGGUGCUCGGCCCCAGUUGCUGUCCCGCGGGACGGGACAACUGGCGCCCAACGUGGGGCUCGAGUGCGGCCCUUGGGGUUCGAGUGCCUGUGAGAUUGGAGGAACGCCGCCUUCCAGGAGGAAAACUUGGAUCCAAGUGAUUGUGCGACCGGCUCGGAACUGCCCACCCGAGAUCAUCAGCAUCGGUCGACGCUGUGGAGUGAAGACGGCGCAAGGAAUGAAACGACCUGGCUGGACGCUACUGGGACUCAUUACAGGACUCCUUAUUAUUGCUGGAAUUGUUGCCAUUGUUGCUAUUUGAGUAUCUUAUCUUCUCUCUAUUCUCUCCUCCCCUGCUACAUUUCCUGAGGGCUCACUGAUUAACCCCUCCAAAGGGCCCUAAUACAAUGGCCCUCAGCCUUGCUCUCCUGAUGAUGGCAAUCUACACCAUCCAUUGGGCUCCACCAGUCUUUGCAGGGCUUGACAACCCUCAGGGCAUUCAAAAAUACCUUCAACAGCAUCACCCUUGUACCUGCUCAGGGGCAUAAUAGUAUCCUUCCCACGCUCAAAAGCCGCAUUUUACACAAGACUGCGGAGAUAAAACUGCUUAUCUGACCGUCCCGGGUUCCCGAUGGUUCUGUGUUCCCAAACCUAAGCUAGACUCUUACCGCACUGGGGAUCAGUGCCCAUCAGAGUGCAAUAAAACUAUCCAUUACUCCGUGUACUCCUCCUGUUAUACACAGUAUCAAACCUGUAAUAAGGGAAAUCAGCGUUUACUGUUUGCUGUUAUAUCAGGAGAUUAUGAGGGAACGUUCGGAGGAGAGUUGUCCUCUUCACGCUUCAGCUCCCCCUCCUGCCCCACUAAGGGACAAGUAGCCUGCUGGUACCCUAUAGCCCCUGUGGGAGUGUCUGACGGUGGAGGCCCUCAGGAUACCCUUACUAAAUUAAAAACACAAAAGGUACUCGAAACUGUAUUUGAAAGCCUUUACCCUUCCCUCCAAUACCACCCCCUGGCUAAAGUUCAUUCCAGAGGAAAUAAAGACUUGGAUGUCAAUACCAUCGAUAUCCUUAACAACACCCAUAAACUGCUUAAUCUCUCUGCCCCAAACCUUGCAAGAGACUGCUGGCUCUGUUUACGCCAGGGACCCCCCCUUCCUCUUGCCAUUUUUCUACCGAUUAAUAAUACCCUUGAGUUCAAUAGUUUCUUGGGCCACCCCCCUAUGCAGCCCUUUCCCGUUCUUCCUGUCCCAACGGAAAAUAUCACUUGCCUUUAUAAACCUCCCAACAACAAUCCCUUCGAUAUCGAUGUAGGCCUUGCUCCUUUCUGUACAAAUAAUGUAACAGUAAACUACCCUCUUUAUGCCCCUAAUUCCACCGUUUUUGUAUGUAGGGAUAAUUUAGCUUAUACCAUUUUACCAACAAAUUGGACCGGUAAUUGCAUGCAUGCUAUACUUUUUCCUGAUAUAGAGAUUAUCAAUGGAGAUACCCCUGUUCCUAUCCCCUCCCUUGAUUAUAUUGCAGGGAGACAAAAACGAGCUAUUCAGUUUAUUCCUUUAUUAGCCACAUUGGGAAUUUCCUCAGCUAUGGUUACAGGAUCCACAGGACUAGGAAUCGCGGUCCACAAAUAUAGAGAAUUGUCCCAACAACUUAUUAAUGAUGUGCAGACCCUAUCCACCACCAUUCAGGACCUUCAAGAUCAAAUUGAUUCCCUAGCGGAAGUGGUUCUACAAAAUCGUAGAGGCUUAGACUUGCUUACUGCUGAACGGGGAGGUAUUUGCUUGGCUUUACAGGAAAAAUGCUGUUUUUAUGCUAACAAGUCCGGCAUUGUUCGUGAUAAAAUCAAGACACUUCAAGAAGAUCUGGAGCGUCGUCGACGUGCCAUGGCUGAAAAUCCCUUUUGGACUGGAUGGAAUGGACUGCUUCCCUAUUUGCUACCGCUUUUAGGCCCCAUUGUUGGGUUGCUUGUUGUGGUAUCUAUAGGUCCUUGUCUCCUCAAUAGGCUGAUGACCUUUAUCAGACAACAAGUAGAUAAUUUAGCAGCCAGACCAAUUCAAAUACAUUACCAAAGUCUGGCCAUGGAAGAUCCCAUGGAAAACGUUAUCUCUCUCUCUGGCCGGUGAAGUCUGGCCAGUGAGGUCACAGUCCCUCCAACAACUGACUCUCCCCUUCGGUCUGCUGCUGCCCCAGUCGGGAGCCCAGGAAGGGCCCCAGGCCUAUCAAUAAAAUGAGCAGUAAGCCAAUGACGGGCACCUUCCCGGAACCUCACCCACCUAAGACAGGAGUCCUUGGGGACUGGCAAGGAUAUCCAAUGACGGGUAAGAGGUGAUGGAGCCCCGGGUCGAUUCCUAAGACAGGCACUGCUCACUCAUCAUGCUUGGCCUAACCGGUAGCCAUUUCUGUUUAAUUGAUAAGAAAGGGGGAUAUGUCGGGGACCACGCAGCAUGUGACCUCUUAGUUGAGAGACAGGGCUGGACAGGCCAGACCUGAUAGUACUGAUAACGCAAUCUUGUGUGACCUUGUGCCUUAAGGCCUUGUAACCUUUCCCCUACUUGCAUUAGCAUUGCAGCUACAAGAUAAGCCCCUCCUCCUUCCCCCUCCCGAUACCCUGCCUCCAUGAUAUAUAAGUGUGUGGUUGAAAAAUAAAGUCGCAGCUUGAUCGGCACCUGUCUUGCUGCCAUC